rnacentral:rRNA from 1 species
GACGUAGGGCGCGAGCGUUGUCCGGAUUUAUUGGGCGUAAAGAGCUCGUAGGCGGCUUGUCGCGUCGUCCGUGAAAACCUGCAGCUCAACUGCAGGCUUGCGGUCGAUACGGGCAGGCUAGAGUUCGGUAGGGGAGACUGGAAUUCCUGGUGUAGCAGUGAAAUGCGUAGAUAUCAGGAGGAAUACCGAUGGCGAAGGCAGGUCUCUGGGCUGACACUGACGCUCAUGCACGAAAGCGUGGGGAGCAAACAGG